rfam:Equus caballus chromosome 14, whole genome shotgun sequence.
CCAAAGGCUCUUUUCAGAGCCACCUCCCUGUUCAGAAAGGAGCGUC